rnacentral:rRNA from 1 species
AUGAACGCUGGCGGCGUGCUUAACACAUGCAAGUCGAGCGAAGCGCUUAAGUUUGAAUCUUCGGAUGAAGACUUUUGUGACUGAGCGGCGGACGGGUGAGUAACGCGUGGGCAACCUGCCUCAUACAGGGGGAUAACAGUUAGAAAUGACUGCUAAUACCGCAUAAGACCACGGUACCGCAUGGUACAGUGGUAAAAACUCCGGUGGUAUGAGAUGGACCCGCGUCUGAUUAGGUAGUUGGUGGGGUAACGGCCUACCAAGCCGACGAUCAGUAGCCGACCUGAGAGGGUGACCGGCCACAUUGGGACUGAGACACGGCCCAGACUCCUACGGGAGGCAGCAGUGGGGAAUAUUGCACAAUGGAGGAAACUCUGAUGCAGCGACGCCGCGUGAAGGAUGAAGUAUUUCGGUAUGUAAACUUCUAUCAGCAGGGAAGAAAAUGACGGUACCUGACUAAGAAGCCCCGGCUAACUACGUGCCAGCAGCCGCGGUAAUACGUAGGGGGCAAGCGUUAUCCGGAUUUACUGGGUGUAAAGGGAGCGUAGACGGCACGGCAAGCCAGAUGUGAAAGCCCGGGGCUCAACCCCGGGACUGCAUUUGGAACUGCUGAGCUAGAGUGUCGGAGAGGCAAGUGGAAUUCCUAGUGUAGCGGUGAAAUGCGUAGAUAUUAGGAGGAACACCAGUGGCGAAGGCGGCUUGCUGGACGAUGACUGACGUUGAGGCUCGAAAGCGUGGGGAGCAAACAGGAUUAGAUACCCUGGUAGUCCACGCCGUAAACGAUGACUGCUAGGUGUCGGGUGGCAAAGCCAUUCGGUGCCGCAGCUAACGCAAUAAGCAGUCCACCUGGGGAGUACGUUCGCAAGAAUGAAACUCAAAGGAAUUGACGGGGGCCCGCACAAGCAGUGGAGUAUGUGGUUUAAUUCGACGCAACGCGAAGAACCUUACCAGGGCUUGACAUAUAGAGGAAUAAGCUAGAGAUAGUUUAGCUCUUCGGAGUCUCUAUACAGGUGGUGCAUGGUUGUCGUCAGCUCGUGUCGUGAGAUGUUGGGUUAAGUCCCGCAACGAGCGCAACCCCUAUCUUCAGUAGCCAGCAGGUUAAGCUGGGCACUCUGGAGAGACUGCCAGGGAUAACCUGGAGGAAGGUGGGGAUGACGUCAAAUCAUCAUGCCCCUUAUGACCAGGGCUACACACGUGCUACAAUGGCGUAAACAAAGAGAAGCGAACUCGCGAGGGUAAGCAAAUCUCAAAAAUAACGUCUCAGUUCGGAUUGUAGUCUGCAACUCGACUACAUGAAGCUGGAAUCGCUAGUAAUCGCAGAUCAGAAUGCUGCGGUGAAUACGUUCCCGGGUCUUGUACACACCGCCCGUCACACCAUGGGAGUCAGUAACGCCCGAAGUCAGUGACCCAACCGUAAGGAGGGAGCUGCCGAAGGUGGGACCGAUAACUGGGGUG